CACUUUCCAGAAAGGGCUCCUCCUCAAUAUGCCUCUAAUCCAAGAGCGUUCGGAGGGGCCUGGUGCAGAGUGAGGAUAUCUCCCCAGCAUUUCCCUUAGGAAGGCUGGAAGCAGCUCAACUGCUGGAAGCCGGGGCUCCCUGCACGUGACUCUGAGGAUGGGGUGCAGACUCUCUCCCCUUGGGAUGCGCCUUCUUACCAGCUGGGUAUUUACAGAGACUCAGGUAUCACCCCUCAUUUACAGCUGCAGCCCCCCUGUACCCUGAAACCUGGAAUCACACUGCCCAGUUGUCUGGAGCUGUCCCCUGGAAAUGAUCCAGGUACAUCACUUCAGGUGUGACCCAAGAGACAAGAUCUUGCUAUGGAGCCCAUGCUGGCCUCAAACACAGUGAUCCUGCUAAUUUCAAAUAUGCAUUCAGUUGUGCCACCUGCUCCUACGCUGCUCUGCUGAAGGACAGUAGAAGCUGGUGCCCUACUCUUGUGCCUGUUAGCUGUCCUCUCUUCGUCCAUCCCUCCUCCCCACCUCUGGUCACCACCUUCUGCCCACUUUAUUUUAGCUUCUGCACGCAGGGGGAAAUAGCUGGCAUUGUCUCUCUGGGCCAUAAGACAAUAAACUAGACUUUUCCUCCGUUGCUGCAGAGGGUGGAUUUCCUACUUUUCCCGGGCUGAGUAGUCUUCCACUGCGUUCAUGUGCUGGAUUUUCUUUGUCUGCCCCUUUGGUGAGGGACACUGAGGCUGAGUUCCUGUCCUGAUUAUUGGUGCCACAGUGUGGCACACAUGGGCUUCAUUUCUUUGGAUAAACAGAUAACAUGGGAUCGCCCAUUGGAUGGCAGUUCUAUUUCUGUUUUUUUUUUUUGAAGAGCCCCCAUUGUGUGCUCCUUCUAGAGGUUUUCUCCCCAGUGGACAGGUCUGUGCAGAUACUUGUCUUCCUGCUAUAGCUGUGGGGUGGAAUCUUUUGGGAGCAAAGGAGGGGCACAGGAUGACGUCAGAGAAGGCUGCCUGGAGGUGGUGACACCUUUUCUGCCACAUCUUGGAGCUGCAGAGCCAGGGCCCUGGACUAAAGUCUGGGAACCAAGGGUGGGGUUGGUACACCAGGGACCCUGAGCUUGGCGUGUGCCACCGAGCAAGUUCAGGCUGAGGGGCCC